AGGUUCGAAUCCUGCACGACCCACCAAUUUAACAUCAAACUCAGAUGUUGAACGUGAAGGAUAACGUUGCGUCAGCAACGGCCUGUAGGGCGAGGCGAAGCCGAGUCAUCCUGCACGACCCACCA
rnacentral:sRNA from 1 species